rnacentral:rRNA from 1 species
GAUGAACGCUGGCGGCGUGCCUAAUACAUGCAAGUCGAGCGAACGGACGAGAAGCUUGCUUUUCUGAUGUUAGCGGCGGACGGGUGAGUAACACGUGGAUAACCUACCUAUAAGACUGGGAUAACUUCGGGAAACCGGAGCUAAUACCGGAUAAUAUUUUGAACCGCAUGGUUCAAAAGUGAAAGACGGUCUUGCUGUCACUUAUAGAUGGAUCCGCGCUGCAUUAGCUAGUUGGUAAGGUAACGGCUUACCAAGGCAACGGUGCAUAGCCGACCUGAGAGGGUGAUCGGCCACACUGGAACUGAGACACGGUCCAGACUCCGACGGGAGGCAGCAGUAGGGAAUCUUCCGCAAAGGGCGAAAGCCUGACGGAGCAACGCCGCGUGAGUGAUGAAGGUCCUCGGAUCGUAAAACUCUGUUAUUAGGGAAGAACAUAUGUGUAAGUAACUGUGCACAUCUUGACGGUACCUAAUCAGAAAGCCACGGCUAACUACGUG